rnacentral:ncRNA from 1 species
UCGGCGCAAACCGAAAAGCCGUAUACCAAACAGAGUAGGUA